AUCACAUUUCCCUUUCCACCUCAGAUCCAAGAUGUUAAAGUACCUGCUGUCUCCUCAUCAUAAAGGUUGCCUGGCAUCAACAAGGGACUCUUCUGCUUCAAGGAGUAUAAUGUGGGUCACUCUGCACCCUAUGACUGGGAAGUCCUUGAAGAUCCGAAGAAAACUUAAACACAUACAUGUGCAUCAUCCUUUCUUCUCUUUAGGAGUCUCAUGGAACUAGCUUGCAACUCCUUAUACCCAGCUCAUGUCAGUUUACUCAGAUUUCUUAUGAGCCUCUUGACUUCAAUAGUGGAAGACUCUAUCCAACGUCCUUCACAUCAAGCUGAGAACUGACUAGUAUUGCUUCUACUCUCUUUUACUCACCAAAGUAAGUGAAGUAGCCACUCCAGAUUCAACAAGACAAAAGGUACACUUUGGUGAGCAGAGUGAUGUAUGUCCACAUAAGAAAGGGAGGAACUGAUGGUAUCAUUUUCAGAGACUUUUUAUAUUAUCUUUCAGUUUGGUUAAGACCAGUAAUCUAUAAGCCUUACCUCUGAAAAUUAUUGAUCCUUGCACAGAACAAAAGUGAUCGCAAUGCCCAUUUGGACCAUGUGAGUGUCUGAGACCACUGAUUAUUGGUAUACAAAAUUUGAAAACUUUUGGGAUUCUUGUUUGUUUGUUUGUUUGUUUGUUUGUUUCAAAUACUGAUAAGAAGUGGCUUGGUUUACCAAUUCUAAUAUGAAGAAGUACAGGCCAUUGCUCUAUGUUUGUGUUACACGUCUAUAAAACCUAAGGAAGCCUAGGAGGGAAAAAUAUGAUCAAGUGGGCAGAACAUGGGCACAGAAUGGCUUACACUCCUCUAACUGCUGAAGAUGCUGCUCUAAGUUCUCUGAGGUGAUGGUUUGCCUUGAGAGAAGUCCAUAUGAUACCAUGUUUUUCUAGAGUGUUCUGAUUCUCAGGGUGAUGGUGUAUGCAGAUAAUGGCUGGCUCCUUUAAUGUAUGCAUUAUAUGAACUUUGUGCUACUAAGCAACAUUACUUUUUUUUUUUAAGUGCUAUCUUCACAGAAGCAUUUAGUCUCCUAAGAACAACAACAAAAAAUCGUUUCAGAAAUUUAUGAGGGAAGGAGAGAAGAACAAACAACUUAGUAUUAUUUAAUGAGCAUGGGUUAUGAGUAAAAAUAUGAAAGUGAAUGUAUUAAAUGAAAUUCCC
rnacentral:lncRNA from 1 species